rnacentral:rRNA from 1 species
GGUUUUUUGUGUUAAAUAAAAAAUCUGGCCUGCCCACUAGUUAAAGGGCUGCAGUAUUUUGACUGUACAAAGGUAGCAUAAUCAUUAGUCUUUUAAUUGAGGACUGGUAUGAAAGGUUGAACGAAAUUUGACUGUCUCCAGAAAUUGGUUUGAAAUUAUUUUUUUGUGAAAAAACAAAGGUGAUUUAAAGGGACAAAAAGACCCUAUUAAACUUAAGUUUAUAUGUUAGGUAUAGAUAUUAAGUUUUACUGGGGCGGUAAGUUACAUAAUUUUUUUAUAAUGAAUUGGUAGCAAAUGACCCAAUAGGUUGACAGGAAGAAUAAGUUACUAUAGGGAUAACAGCGUAAUAUUUUCUGAGAGUUCUUAUUGACGAAAUUGUUUGCGACCUCGAUGUUGGAUUAAGAAGUCUAGUUGACGCAAAAGUUAACUAAGAUGGUCUGUUCGACCUUUAAUAUCUU